GCCGGAGUGGCGCAACGGUUGACGCGGCGGUCUCAAAAUCCGCUGGGCGCAAGCCCAUGAGGGUUCGAGUCCCUCCUCCGGCA
rnacentral:tRNA from 1 species